rnacentral:rRNA from 1 species
UACGUAGGGUGCGAGCGUUAAUCGGAAUUACUGGGCGUAAAGCGUGCGCAGGCGGUUGGGUAAGACCGAUGUGAAAUCCCCGGGCUUAACCUGGGAAUGGCAUUGGUGACUGCACGGCUAGAGUGUGGCAGAGGGGGGUAGAAUUCCACGUGUAGCAGUGAAAUGCGUAGAGAUGUGGAGGAAUACCGAUGGCGAAGGCAGCCCCCUGGGAUAACACUGACGCUCAUGCACGAAAGCGUGGGGAGCAAACAGG